rnacentral:rRNA from 1 species
UACAGAGGUCCCAAGCGUUGUUCGGAUUCACUGGGCGUAAAGGGUGCGUAGGUGGUGAGGUAAGUCGGAUGUGAAAGCUCGGAGCUCAACUCCGAAAUGGCAUUGGAAACUACCUUGCUCGAGGGUUGGAGGGGGGACUGGAAUGCUUGGUGUAGCGGUGAAAUGCGUAGAUAUCGGGAGGAACACCUGUGGCGAAAGCGGCGCACUGGACCACAACUGACGCUGAGGCGCGAAAGCUAGGGGAGCAAACAGG